rnacentral:rRNA from 1 species
GUCUACGGUCAUGCCACGCUGAACAAGCCCGAUCUCGUCUGAUCUCAGAAGCUUAAGCAGAUCGAGCCCGGUUAGUACUUGGAUGGGAGACCACCUAGGAAGACCAGGUGCUGUAAGCG